rnacentral:siRNA from 1 species
UCACAGGUGGAAGCAUGCGU